rnacentral:tRNA from 1 species
GGCAGUGUAGCAUAGUGGUUAAGGCGCAGGACUUGUGACCGAGAGGUUGCGGGUUCGAUUCUCCACUGGGGCA